AAAUUGUGAUUGAGAUUUUGUGUGGUGAUUGAUGUUGAAGCAGGAAGAGGGGAGCAAGACUUAGCACUUACAGGCGCAGAGGUGCCGGGCAAGGCUGGACCAUUUAGAAUGAGCAGAUGUGGAGAAUUUGUCAGAAUGGAACAAUGUGAGGUUGAACCGGAUCCUUGUGGACUAUAUGUUGAGGAUGUCUUAUUAUGAUACUGCGGUGAAGAUGGCCGAAAGCCAAAAUAUUCAGGAACCGCAGUUUGGAGCCACUACCUCAAAAGUUUUAUGAGUCAUAUUUGAAGAGAUUUUCCCCCUAUUGUUGUUCAUGUGACCGGUGCCUUAGUUUACAGUUCAACUCUCACUGAAAGAGUGUUUAUUCUAGUUGAAGGGUAAUAUAGGUACCAAUUCACUUCUCAUUUGUUUUGAAGGGUUGCACUUGCAG